UACGUAGGAGGCAAGCGUUGUCCGGAAUUACUGGGCGUAAAGAGCUCGUAGGCGGUCUGUCGCGUCGGAUGUGAAAACCCAGGGCUCAACCCUGGGCCUGCAUUCGAUACGGGCAGACUAGAGUUCGGUAGGGGAGACUGGAAUUCCUGGUGUAGCGGUGAAAUGCGCAGAUAUCAGGAGGAACACCGGUGGCGAAGGCGGGUCUCUGGGCCGAAACUGACGCUGAGGAGCGAAAGCGUGGGGAGCAAACAGG
rnacentral:rRNA from 1 species